rnacentral:rRNA from 1 species
GACGAACGCUGGCGGCGUGUUUAACACAUGCAAGUCGAGCGGAGCGGCGAACGGGUGAGUAACGCGAGAGUAACUGCCCCCCUCUCUGGGAUAACAGUUGGAAACGGCUGCUAAUACCGGAUAGUGGGGGAUGAAUCGCGUCCUAUCAGCUUGUUGGUGGGGUAGUGGCCUACCAAGGCGACGACGGGUAGCCGGCCUGAGAGGGCUACCGGCCACAUUGGGCGGGGAGACGGCCCGAACUCCUAGGGGAGGCAGUAGUGGGGAAUAUUGCACAAUGGGGGAAACACGGAUGCAGCAACGUCGCGGGCGGGAUGACGGCAUUCGGGUUGUAUACCGAUUUCAGCCAUGAUGCGGUAGGGGCAGAAGAAGCACCGGCUAACUACGUGCCAGCAGCCGCGGUAAUAC